rnacentral:rRNA from 1 species
UGGAGAGUUUGAUCCUGGCUCAGGACGAACGCUGGCGGCGUGCUUAACACAUGCAAGUCGAGCGGUAAGGCCCUUCGGGGUACACGAGCGGCGAACGGGUGAGUAACACGUGGGUGAUCUGCCUCGCACUCUGGGAUAAGCCUGGGAAACUGGGUCUAAUACCGGAUAUGACCAAGGGUUGCAUGAUCUUUGGUGGAAAGAUUUAUCGGUGCGAGAUGGGCCCGCGGCCUAUCAGCUUGUUGGUGGGGUAACGGCCUACCAAGGCGACGACGGGUAGCCGGCCUGAGAGGGUGAUCGGCCACACUGGGACUGAGACACGGCCCAGACUCCUACGGGAGGCAGCAGUGGGGAAUAUUGCACAAUGGGCGGAAGCCUGAUGCAGCGACGCCGCGUGAGGGAUGACGGCCUUCGGGUUGUAAACCUCUUUCGACAGGGACGAAGCGUGAGUGACGGUACCUGUAGAAGAAGCACCGGCUAACUACGUGCCAGCAGCCGCGGUA